CGGGGCGUGGCUCAGCGGUAGAGCACCCGCUUUGGGAGCGGGGGGUCGCAGGUUCAAAUCCUGCCGCCCCGA
rnacentral:tRNA from 1 species